UAAAUUGAUAUUUUGAUCCGACGGUCCUGAUUUGAUCAACCCUUUCUCUUUUCCCUUCUAUCUGAUUGUACUCUCUACCGCCGCCCCACUCCACAGCAUCGCACCGCGCCGCCCACUCCACCGCCUUGCCGCCGCCAAACCCUCUCUUAGUUUAACGAUCCUCUUUCUACCGCCGGACAGAGGGUGGUAUUUUACCAAUUAUCUACUCUGCGCCUCCGAUCCCAAUUUAACUUUCUCCUCUUUUACAGAAGCUGUUGGCGGAUUCUUGGCUAUUUUCUUUGCUUUUGUUACUACCAUUGGAGCAUUUUGGACAUUUUGGCUAUUCUGAUAACCACAGGUAUAUUAUGGAUGAGCAUCCGGACUACAAUGACUUAAAUGAUGAAAUUAGGAAUGACAUACCUGGUGAAUUGGGAGAUGACUUAUUGAAUAUGGAUGAUGAUCCAAUAGAUUACAUCAACUUCAGUG